UACGAAGGAUUCGAGCGUUAUCCGGAUUUAUUGGGUUUAAAGGGUGCGUAGGUGGAUCAAUAAGUCAGUGGUGAAAGCCCAGAGCUCAACUCUGGAACUGCCAUUGAUACUGUUGAUCUUGAGUACAGUUGAGGUGGGCGGAAUGUGUCAUGUAGCGGUGAAAUGCUUAGAUAUGACACAGAACACCGAUUGCGAAGGCAGCUUACUAAGU
rnacentral:rRNA from 1 species